GAACCUUCAGAUUUCAGAUUUGAUUAGGGUUUUAGCGUCUUCGGACCAGGCUUCAUUCCCCCCAAUUGUUGCUCCCUGUUUACUCCAUAUUUCUUCCUUCUUUUCAAAUUAGGGUUUCAGAUCCAGUGAAUGAACCCUUGUUAAAGGUUUGAUCUCUUACCUUACUUUCUCAGAUUCAUUUACAUGCGUUAUUGAUUGUUUGCAUGGAAAGAAAUAGUUUUCUUUUUUAAAUAGGUCUUUGGGGACCGAUAGAAAAAAAAAGUUUUCAGGUAUUUGCAGAUUGGUGUAAUGAUGAAAGAAUCUGACUUUCUUUCUCCUCUUGGAAUCUGAAAAGUUUCAUCAUGACAAACU
rnacentral:precursor_RNA from 1 species